CAGCACCUCGGGUCCCAGCUGGUGGGGAAGCCACGAGCGAGGACACGAGCACCGGAGCGCCCGGGCGCCUUCUCGCCUCAGCGGGGCUGGUCAGCAAAGGAAGUAGACACAGGUCUCUGCAGGAGGAAGAAAAGACAAAACUCCUGUCCUUCCCCUCCGUGACCACAAAGAUCUCAGCAAAAUCUGAGAACCGCCUUGCUAGAGCAGCAACAGGCACAGAAUCAUGUAGAAUGAAGACAGAGAGGAACACAUACUCUGAACAUGGAAAACUCACUACAAAAUGGGAAUGACUUGUUACUUCCUGUGAUAUUGCCUAUUCUCCUCUCACCUUGAGUACCUGAACACUGUCAUAGAGCUUGCAAGCCACAAAAACCCAAUCUUACAAGCCCACAGCACAUCCUUAAAAAAACAACCCCGCAGUUCCAUUACCAGAAAGGGGCUAAGCCUAGGUUCAGAAUGACAACUGCCAACAGAGACCGGAAUUAAGCAUUUGAAUUCCCAAGUCUCCUACUGACUUGAGUAACUUUUGGAGCAGAUCCUUUAUGUAUAGAGUAUCAUAAAACAGCUUUAAAUCAAAGGAAAAACAUUUACAUAGUAUGUGCAUACACCCUAAUGUAAAUGCAUGAAUGUUAAUUUUUACAUAGUUCAAUAAAAAUCAAUUCUAUAAGCACA